rnacentral:rRNA from 11 species
GACCCCAGGUCAGGCG